rnacentral:rRNA from 1 species
AACGAACGCUAGCGGCAGGCUUAACACAUGCAAGUCGAGGGGCAACACGGGUAGCAAUACCUGGUGGCGACCGGCGCAAGGGUGCGUAACGCGUGAGCAACAUACCCUAUACAGGGGGAUAAUCCAGGGAAACUUGGUCUAAUAUCCCAUAGGAUUUACAGAUGUCAUCAUCUAUAAAUUAAAGCUUCGGUGGUAUAGGAUUGGCUCGCGUGACAUUAGCUAGAUGGUGGGUAACGCCUACCAUGGCCAUGAUGUCUAGGGGUUCUGAGAGGAAGACCCCCCACACUGGGACUGAGACACGGCCCAGACUCCUACGGGAGGCAGCAGUGAGGAAUAUUGGACAAUGGAUGGAAAUCUGAUCCAGCCAUGCCGCGUGCAGGAAGACGGCCCUAUGGGUUGUAAACUGCUUUUAUACGGGACAAUAAGGUCUAUGCAUAGAUUGAUGAGAGUACCGUAUGAAUAAGCAUCGGCUAACUCCGU